rnacentral:rRNA from 1 species
UUCGCCCUUAGAGUUUGAUCCUGGCUCAGGACGAACGCUGGCGGCGCGCCUAACACAUGCAAGUCGAACGGAGCUGAGAGGAGCUUGCUUUUCUUAGCUUAGUGGCGAACGGGUGAGUAACGCGUGAGUAACCUGCCCUGGAGUGGGGGACAACAGUUGGAAACGACUGCUAAUACCGCAUAAGCCCACGGCCCGGCAUCGGGCUGCGGGAAAAGGAUUUAUUCGCUUCAGGAUGGACUCGCGUCCAAUUAGCUAGUUGGUGAGGUAACGGCCCACCAAGGCGACGAUUGGUAGCCGGACUGAGAGGUUGAACGGCCACAUUGGGACUGAGACACGGCCCAGACUCCUACGGGAGGCAGCAGUGGGGGAUAUUGCACAAUGGGGGAAACCCUGAUGCAGCGACGCCGCGUGGAGGAAGAAGGUUUUCGGAUUGUAAACUCCUGUCGUUAGGGGCGAUAAUGACGGUACCUAACAAGAAAGCACCGGCUAACUACGUGCCAGCAGCCGCGGUAAAACGUAGGGUGCAAGCGUUGUCCGGAAUUACUGGGUGUAAAGGGAGCGCAGGCGGACCGGCAAGUUGGAAGUGAAAACUAUGGGCUUAACCCAUGAACUGCUUUUGAAACUGUUAGUCUUGAGUGAAGUAGAGGUAGGCGGAAUUCCCGGUGUAGCGGUGAAAUGCGUAGAGAUCGGGAGGAACACCAGUGGCGAAGGCGGCCUACUGGGCUUUAACUGACGCUGAGGCACGAAAGUGUGGGUAGCAAACAGGAUUAGAUACCCUGGUAGUCCACACUGUAAACGAUGAUUACUUAGGGGGGGGGGGGUCUAACCCCCCUCCGUGCUGGAGUUAACACAAAUAAGUAAUCCACCUGGGGAGUACGACCGCAAGGUUGAAACUCAAAGGAAUUGACGGGGGCCCGCACAAAGCAGUGGAGUAUGUGGUUUAAUUCGACGCAACGCGAAGAACCUUACCAGGUCUUGACAUCCAACUAACGAAGCAGAGAUGCAUUAGGUGCCCUUCGGGGAAAGUUGAGACAGGUGGUGCAUGGUUGUCGUCAGCUCGUGUCGUGAGAUGUUGGGUUAAGUCCCGCAACGAGCGCAACCCUUGUGAUUAGUUGCUACGCAAGAGCACUCUAAUCAGACUGCCGUUGACAAAACGGAGGAAGGUGGGGACGACGUCAAAUCAUCAUGCCCUUUAUGACCUGGGCUACACACGUACUACAAUGGUCGUUAACAGAGGGAAGCAAUACCGCGAGGUGGAGCAAAACCCUAAAAACGGUCUCAGUUCAGAUUGUAGGCUGCAACUCGCCUACAUGAAGUUGGAAUUGCUAGUAAUCGCGGAUCAGCAUGCCGCGGUGAAUACGUUCCCGGGCCUUGCACUCACCGCCCGUCA